rnacentral:misc_RNA from 1 species
UACAGAGGCCCCAAGCAUUAUCCGGAAUCACUGGGCGUAAAGGGUGUGUAGGCGGUUGUGUUAGUCCUUCGUAAAAGCUUCCGGGCUCAACCUGGAAAAUGCGGUGGAAACGGCACAACUUCGAGGGCGCGAGAGGUACAGGGAACUCAUGGUGUAGGGGUGAAAUCCGUUGAUAUCAUGGGGAACACCAAAUGCGAAGGCACUGUACUGGCGCGCUCCUGACGCUGAGACACGAAAGCGUGGGUAGCGAACAGG